rnacentral:rRNA from 1 species
GAGGAAUAUUGGACAAUGGAUGGAAAUCUGAUCCAGCCAUGCCGCGUGCAGGAAGACGGCCCUAUGGGUUGUAAACUGCUUUUAUACGGGAGCAAUAAGGUCUAUGCAUAGAUUGAUGAGAGUACCGUAUGAAUAAGCAUCGGCUAACUCCGUGCCAGCAGCCGCGGUAAUACGGAGGAUGCGAGCGUUAUCCGGAUUUAUUGGGUUUAAAGGGUGCGUAGGCGGCUUUGUAAGUCAGCGGUGAAAUUUUGCAGCUUAACUGUAAAAGCGCCGUUGAUACUGUGAAGCUAGGAUUUGGUUGCUGUGGGCGGAAUGUGUGGUGUAGCGGUGAAAUGCAUAGAGAUCACACAGAAUAUCGAUUGCGAAGGCAGCUCACAAAGCCAAUAUUGACGCUGAGGCACGAAAGUGUGGGGAUCAAAC